AGCAGUCGCCGCGGUAAAACGUAGGUCCCGAGCGUUGUCCGGAUUUAUUGGGCGUAAAGCGAGCGCAGGCGGUUAGAUAAGUCUGAAGUUAAAGGCUGUGGCUUAACCAUAGUACGCUUUGGAAACUGUUUAACUUGAGUGCAGAAGGGGAGAGUGGAAUUCCAUGUGUAGCGGUGAAAUGCGUAGAUAUAUGGAGGAACACCGGUGGCGAAAGCGGCUCUCUGGUCUGUAACUGACGCUGAGGCUCGAAAGCGUGGGGAGCGAACAGGAUUAGAUACCCCUGUAGUCCCUGUCUCUUAUACA
rnacentral:rRNA from 1 species